UAAUACGUAGGGGGCAAGCGUUGUCCGGAUUCAUUGGGCGUAAAGAGCGUGUAGGCGGUUAGGUAGGUCCGAUGUGAAAACUGGAGGCUCAACCUCCAGCUGUCAUUGGAAACCAUCUGGCUAGAGUCCGGAAGAGGAGAGUGGAAUUCCUGGUGUAGCGGUGAAAUGCGCAGAUAUCAGGAAGAACACCUAUGGCGAAGGCAGCUCUCUGGGACGGUAC
rnacentral:rRNA from 1 species